rnacentral:rRNA from 1 species
GAUGAACGCUGGCGGCGUGCCUAACACAUGCAAGUCGAACGGAGAUUAGACGCUGACGAGACUUCGGUCAAAUCUUGUUUAAUCUUAGUGGCGGACGGGUGAGUAACGCGUGGGCAACCUGCCUCGUACCGGGGGAUAGCAGUUGGAAACGACUGAUAAUACCGCAUAAGCGCACGGUAUCGCAUGAUACAGUGUGAAAAACUCCGGUGGUACGAGAUGGGCCCGCGUCAGAUUAGCCAGUUGGCGGGGUAACGGCCCACCAAAGCGACGAUCUGUAGCCGGACUGAGAGGUCGGACGGCCACAUUGGGACUGAGACACGGCCCAAACUCC